CCUACGGGAGGCUGCAGUGAGGAAUAUUGCUCAAUGGGGGAAACCCUGAAGCAGCAACGCCGCGUGAGGGAUGAAGGCGCUUUGCGUUGUAAACCUCUGUAGUUGGAGACAAACUUCUCCCUACCGGGAGAUUGAUGGUAUCCAAAAAGUAAGGAUCGGCUAACUACGUGCCAGCAGCCGCGGUAAUACGUAGGAUCCGAGCGUUGUCCGGAUUUACUGGGUGUAAAGGGUGCGCAGGCGGACUGGUGAGUCAGGGGUGAAAUCUCGCCGCUUAACGGCGAAACUGCCUUUGAUACUAUCAGUCUUGAGUUUGGUAGAGAUCCGUGGAAUUCCGAGUGUAGCAGUGAAAUGUGUAGAUAUUCGGAAGAACACCAGUGGCGAAGGCAGCGGAUUGGGCCAAUACUGACGCUCAGGCACGAAAGCAUGGGGAUCAAACAGGA
rnacentral:rRNA from 1 species